rnacentral:rRNA from 1 species
AUGGCGACUGCGAUGGACCAUCAGGAAAGUCUGCUGCGCAUGGACUCUGAGACCUCGGUGCAAAUGGGUGAUGAGUUGCCGCCCAUGGAUGAAGAAACCACUCUCCGCAUGGAUGGAAGUGGCACUGUCUGCCUAGAUGAAGGAGGAACUAUCUGCAUAGAUGAAGCAGGCACUGUCCACACAGACAUCAUCCCUGUUGCACCUUCUAUUGAUAGGAAUGCUGUCAUCAAUGAAGAAGAACAACAGCUUGUGCUUCAACCAGAUGUGAUGACUACCAAGACUAGACUUAGAAAGGGCAAAGGGCUAGAUAGAAUCACCAAGUCGCUUGGUAGCAAGGUGCCUAUCCAAAUUGCCGAAGGGAUGAAGCGUCCAGAGAAGCCUCUGCAGGCAGCAAAGCUUGCUUCUGAGUGUGGACUCGUUGCAAGAAGCCAUCUGCCCAUUCUUCCUCACUUCAAGCUAUACAAAAAAUGCUAG